rnacentral:miRNA from 1 species
UAAACAUAAGUAGAAUUAAACAAG